rnacentral:lncRNA from 1 species
CCCCACUCCGCCACCCUGCCCUACCCCACCGCACCACACACAAUCCACACACAGACACUCGACUGCCUUCCAGCAGAGCGAAAACCAGCUGUUGUUGUAGUUGCUCCAUUCGCCGGCUUCCCAGCCCGGCACGAGACUUUUUUUUGUGAACCCUCUCAGCUGUUCGUUCGCCCGGCAUCGGAAAUGGAAUUCAGCUGCAGCACUACAUAUGUACAUGAGUAUGUGUGUCUACUU